rnacentral:misc_RNA from 1 species
GAUGAAGAACGCAGCGAAAUGCGAUAAGUAAUGUGAAUUGCAGAAUUCAGUGAAUCAUCGAAUCUUUGAACGCACAUUGCGCCCCGUGGUAUUCCGAGGGGCAUGCCUGUUCGAGCGUCAUUAUAACCCCUCAAGCUCAGCUUGGUGUUGGUGCCUGCUGCACUGGCAGCCCUUAAAAUCAGUGGCGGCGCCAUCUGGCUCUAAGCGUAGUAAUUCUUCUCGCUAUGGAGUCCUGGUGGAUGCUUGCCAUCAACCCCCAAUUUUUCUAUGGUUGACCUCGGAUCAGGUAGGGAUACCCGCUGAACUUAAGCAUAUCAAUAAGCGGAGGA